rnacentral:lncRNA from 1 species
UCGCCAGCAGCUAGCAGCACUGACUAGUAGGAGGGCCCGCCGGAGGAGAGCCGCGCGGCCCACAGAAGCGGAACGCGCGUCGAGAGCGCCCUGUCCGCUCGCCCCAGACAGAUGCCCGGUUAUUCAUUACCCCGAGGCCUAGAGGAAAGAAUGGCUGCCGUCCUCCUGUCCACAGCCCGCCGGACCCUCCGUCGCGGCUGCCGGCUCCCCGGAGCCGCAGCCACCGAGCCUGGCUGUGCGUGUCGUGGCUGCUGGGGAGAAAGAGGCGUCCGGAAGCCCCAGAGAGAUUGGUAAGGGUGAUUUCCCAGGAAGACGCAGUGUGCUCUGACUUCUGUGACAGCGAGCAGCGGGACCAAUGGAUGUCCAGAUGCUGGCAAUGAGACAUGCUCUGGAGUCAGAAGACGGCGAAAAGAGAAGCAGAAGCCUCGGUGGCAAGAGUCCGAAGCAGGACGCAAUCACUGUAACCUGUGGAUUGUACUGCAGUAGGAAACUAUCCUAGCGAGGCUCUGCUUUGCCCCAGCUUCAAGCUGGAAAGGAGGAGAACAUGAAACGUUGCUUGAAGACAAUGGCCGAGACAGCAGGUCCCACCCUGCACAGCCACCAGCAUCUCUCCCCUCAGCCCUGUCUCCUCUUCUGCAGUUGGGAUCUGCACAUUUAAGCCCCAAAUUGUCCUGUGAAGUGAAGUAUGAUCGGACAGCCUCUUUUCAGCUUUUAUGAAAAUGGAGACAGAGGAAUUGUGGCUCUUGCCAAGGUCACAGGAUUGGAAUGCAGAGCCAAGCCACCCCAGGACAUGCAAGAGCCUCAGAAGGGAAAAAGCCCAGCAGGAAGGGAGAACAAGUAGCCUCUGUCCUGAGGUUGUAACAGCCAAGGGCCAGGAUGGAGGAGGAGGACCCCAUGAUCUGCCCAUCUGGCACUUGGCAGGGGACCUGGGAAAAUGUACCCCAACCCAUCCCUCAAGGGCCUUUGCCUUUGGCCCACUGGCCUAGCAUCUCCUUCUUCACCAUGUCUGUUCUUGUCACACCUAGUCAGGUCUGUUUGGGUCUGAGGUGCAUGGAACAUUCUGGGUAGGCCUCCAGCAAAUGGAAGCUCUUCACCGUGUUUCCAGCCUGGGACCAAGGGCAGCACACUGGCAAAGUUGCCAAAGCAAGGGACUCCAGCCUUUUAGGAGUUAAUGACUCCCUCUCCCCAGCUGUCCUCCCCUUAGUGCUCCUCUUCCUCCCUCCUCCUGCUCACAGCAGGCAGGGCCUAGACCCAGGAGCCAUGCUGCUGUGCUGUUGCCAGGGGAGCACGGAGGCAGAUCUGAGCUAUGCAGGGAAAAGGCCCGGCCUGUCAAAGUGUCUGAGAUGAACCGCUGCCGUCCCUGUGCAGCUGGGCUCAGACGUGUCUCAGCUCUUGUUCUGUGCCUGAGAAUGGCAAAACCCAGUGAGGUUCAAGGGCAAACUCGCUAUUCAUUAGUCAGGGGUUCUUGACGUCCCGUCUCUCCCAGGGAUGAGUUCCCCCCUCCUCUUUCUUCCCCUCCUGUGACACAUUCCUGGGUGCCUUUGGUGAGGACUGCACACCCUCCUCCUGCCUAGCCCCCUCUCCGAAGGCCCCUGAAUAAACUCCCCCCAAGGAGACCAGGCAGGGCAGAGACAAUGGCUGCAGGAAAUCAUUCAUGCGGGACAUGCUGGCCGGCCCUCCACCCAGUCCCCCUGUGGGCCCCACGCCCUUCUGAUUCAGGGCACCCUUGGGCCCCCAGCCUAUACAGGCCUGGACAGGAAGAAACCACUGGGAACCACCCUAAGGACAUACAUGCUAGUCCAGUGCCAUUCUUCGCUGGCUCUGUGGGUGCCUUUGUGGCCUGUACCGACUGGCUGGCUAAUUUUGUGGUUUCUGUAC